GGGCGCCUGCUGGAGGAGAGGCGGCGCUCCUGCUGGAGGAGAGGCGGGCUCUGCUGGAGGAGAGGCGGCGCUCCUGCUGGAGGAGAGGCGGCGCUCCUGCUGGAGGAGAGGCGGCGCGUUGGUCUGGAGGAGAGUCGGCGCCUGCUGGAGGGGAGGCGGGCGCUCCUGCUGGAGGAGAGGCGGCGCUCCUGCUGGAGGAGAGGCGGGCGCUCCUGCUGGAGGAGAGGCGGUGCUCCUUCUGGAGGAGAGGUGGGCGCGGUGGUCUGGAGGAGAGGCGGACGCUCCUGCUGGAGGAGAGGCGGGCGCGCUGGUCUGGAGGAGAGGGGGCGCGGUGGUCUGGAGGAGAGGCGGCGCGGUGGUCUGGAGGAGAGGCAGACGCUCCUGCUGGAGGAGAGGGCGCGUGGUCUGGAGGAGAGGCGGCGCUCCUGCUGGAGGAGAGGCGGCGCUCCUGCUGGAGGAGAGGCGGCGCGGUGGUCUGGAGGAGAGGCGGCGCGGUGGUCUGGAGGAGAGGCGGCGCGGUCCGAGGAGGAGCAGUGCAGUCACCCCAAGCAGGAAAAAUACAUUUCACAUACAUUUUACAAUGUAUUUAAUGCAUGUAUUUUAAUGCAUGGCAAAAUGAGUAAAUAUGAUCCAGUUCAUAUAGUCUAGUAAUGUAUUUCAAGUGCACGUGAAAUAUAUUUACUAUGCAUUUAACACUUAUUUCCAAAUAGCAUUCCAAAUGUGUUUCUAAAUGCAAUGCAGAUGCAUUCAAAAUAUAUUAUAAAAUAUAUGCAUGUAAGUAUAUUUCGUAUAUAUUUCACAAACAUUGGAAGUACAUAUUGAAAUGGCCAAAUUUUACAGAUUAUUUUGCCAUGCAUUAGGAAUACAUCUUAGAAUACAUAAAAAAGAUAUGUGUGAAAUGUAUUUUAAUAUUUUUUUAAAAUAUUUUUUUUGAAUACCUGCUGGUGUCUGUUCCUUGCAGGUCCUGCAUAAUUGUGCGGAAGUGUCUGCUCUGGAUGAAGAACUAAAACACAAUCUAACGUUAUGACGGUUCACUACCCGGCUGAUCUAUUCCCUAAGAAAAGGGCAAAGAUUUUCCUUUUCAAAGCAAUUAAUUUUAAUCAGAAAUAAUGAGAGGACUGUCAUCGACCCAUCUCACACAGCUCUGGUUACACACUGUCUUUGCAAUGAUUCAAAUAAUUAGAAAGCAGACAGUAGCUUUCGCCUGGUUUUCCAGUUUGGUUUGACUUAAACUAAUAUUGUCAGCCAUUAAAGGCUUCACAGUUUGUACGAGGUGUUUGUCAUUAUGGAAAUGGUUUUGUAAUUAUGAAGUUUGCUGUGGAAGAGAUGAAAAAAGAAAGAGUCUUUUGAAGUGAAGGCCCUGCUAUAUAACAGCAUGUACAGCCAUUAGAAUUAAAAGAUGAAAGUAUAUUUUACAGAGCAGCACCUGCUCUGUAAAUGUUUUUUUGUUAUUUGCCAAAGGGACAUAAAACCUUGAAUAGUGUUUCUUUGUGAGGGUCACAAAGUUCAGGAAACUGAAAUUGGUGAUUAAUAAUUGACCAUAAAUUAUCCCUGUCAGUGACAUGAUGAUUCUCAUUGUGAGAAUAUUCUGAUUUCCCUUUCAAAGACGAGUGCAGUUUCCGCAGCGAACCCUGGCAGACAGACUGGGCCUCCCCAGAGGGAAAGGUUAUCGCCAGACUUUCUGCGGCGCUAUUUUUGAAACAGAAGGUCCGCACACCCGUCACACGUCUGCUAUUGAUUUGUUAGAGCUGAAGGGGGAGAGCGAACGAGCCAGAGGAUCCUGCAGAAAGAGAAAUGCCUUUGCAUAGGCAUGCCAUGAGAAAGAUAAGUCAUUAAGCAGCACUCCUUGACCAAAUCAUCAAAGGAUACAGCGGGAAGGCUGGGCGUCUAGGCUGGGUAAACGUAAGACAAAUGAUGUGCUGAAGUGUGUCUGACGGAUUGUGAAGAGCGUUGUUUGCAGACAGUGCCGCCUCCAUCCAUCACACUUAGCGCUGAUGGCUCCAGAUGUCAGCUGCAGCUACUUCAGCGCGCCCGCAAGCCGGCAAAUUGGAUAAACACCUCAGAGUGGAGGAAGAGAGGGCAAGGACCCGAGCUGGGCCUGCUUGUAAGAGGUAAUAUGCCGUGGUGAGAGUUGGACAGAAGCAGAAGCGCUUCCUGCAAUGCACUGCAGAGGCUCCCCUCCACAGCGGGCCAGGACUGCUGCAGGGAUCCGGGGGGGACUGCUGCAGGGAUCCGGGGGGGACUGCUGCAGGGAUCCGGGGGGACGGCUGCAGAGAUCCGGGGGGGGGAACCAUGUAGAAAAGGUCUCAUGAUCACUUCAGCACUUUCCACCAUGGUUGGUGGUCUAUGGGUUCCAUGCACCACCUUUUUCAGGUGUGUGUGUGUGUGGCAGGCAUGUAUCUAACACACCUGCACGGUCCCUAAGGUGCAGCAUUUAAACAGCAUUUAAACUUGGGUGAGAAAUGUAACUUGUUCUCAUAAAUACUUACAUGUUGAAAUGUUAGCUUUCACAUGGUUAAAUAAUAAGGCUGAUAUUUGUUAUAAUUCCUCAAGGAUAUUUGUCUAACCCUUUGGCAGAGACAUUAUUAAAAAGAUGAGCGCACUUAACUUUA